rnacentral:rRNA from 1 species
CAGCCGCCGCGGGAAUACGAAGGGGGCUAGCGUUGCUCGGAAUUACUGGGCGUAAAGGGCGCGUAGGCGGACAGUUUAGUCAGUGGUGAAAGCCCGGGGCUCAACCUCGGAAUUGCCUUUGAUACUGGCUGUCUUGAGUAUGGGAGAGGUGAGUGGAACUCCGAGUGUAGAGGUGAAAUUCGUAGAUAUUCGGAAGAACACCAGUGGCGAAGGCGACUCACUGGCCCAUUACUGACGCUGAGGCGCGAAAGCGUGGGGAGCAAACAGGAUUAGAUACCCCUGUAGUCCCUGUCUCUUAUAC